UGGGGAAUAUUGCACAAUGGGCGAAAGCCUGAUGCAGCGACGCCGCGUGAGGGAUGACGGCCUUCGGGUUGUAAACCUCUUUCAGCAGGGAAGAAGCCACAAGUGACGGUACCUGCAGAAGAAGCGCCGGCUAACUACGUGCCAGCAGCCGCGGUAAUACGUAGGGCGCAAGCGUUGUCCGGAAUUAUUGGGCGUAAAGAGCUCGUAGGCGGUUUGUCGCGUCUGCUGUGAAAGCCCGGGGCUUAACCCCGGGUGUGCAGUGGGUACGGGCAGACUAGAGUGCAGUAGGGGAGACUGGAAUUCCUGGUGUAGCGGUGGAAUGCGCAGAUAUCAGGAGGAACACCGAUGGCGAAGGCAGGUCUCUGGGCUGUUACUGACGCUGAGGA
rnacentral:rRNA from 1 species